AACAUAACCACAAGUCGCUGGCAGUCACAUUCGCUUCCCAUUACCUAAUGGAUUCUCUGGCUGAUGCUAUUUCUUCGAGUUCUCACGCAACGGUGGUCCUCCUGAUGCGGCUGAGGAGUAACAUCACAUCAGUUGACAUAUGUUCAAUUUCCCCUCAGUUGAAACCGUGAAUUGAUUCCGCUUUCAGUGUGAGGAUCCGUUCCAAUCAUUUUGCAGAGAUGAAAGAUAGUCCGUUGGCCCAGUCAAGUUCUUUUGAUGUGGUGGCUAGGUAUGCUGUUACGACUGAUGGCCACGCAGAUUUCAGCAGUUGAGCUGCAUUAAAGGGAUAUUCUAUUCGGUCACGCAUUAUUGGAAACCGCCCGCCAAACGCGUUUCCAUCAGGCUUCAAAAGACCGGACUUUUGGAAACCUAUGAAUACCAUUAUUGUCUUACUCAUAGUCGCACUCUUGGUGUGUUGGAAAUGGAGCUGGCUCGAAUUCUUGGUUGUGUGACCAGUGUGCUUGAAACACCGCUUCCCUUCGGGCUGGCCACCGACUGGCGAAGUCGGCACAUGUCCCACAUAUGGCGUUCGUGGUGUUCAUAACGCGGACAAUUUUGCCAAUAUCAGGGUCUCGAGAGCGCAU
rnacentral:sRNA from 1 species